rnacentral:rRNA from 1 species
AACGAACGCUGGCGGCAUGCCUAACACAUGCAAGUCGAACGAGACCUUCGGGUCUAGUGGCGCACGGGUGCGUAACGCGUGGGAACCUGCCCUUAGGUUCGGAAUAACUCCCCGAAAGGGGUGCUAAUACCGGAUAAUGUCUUCGGACCAAAGAUUUAUCGCCUUUGGAUGGGCCCGCGUUGGAUUAGCUAGUUGGUAGGGUAAAAGCCUACCAAGGCGACGAUCCAUAGCUGGUCUGAGAGGAUGAUCAGCCACACUGGGACUGAGACACGGCCCAGACUCCUACGGGAGGCAGCAGUGGGGAAUAUUGGACAAUGGGCGAAAGCCUGAUCCAGCAAUGCCGCGUGAGGGAUGAAGGCCUUAGGGUUGUAAAGCUCUUUUAACCGGGAUGAUAAUGACAGUACCGGGAGAAUAAGCUCCGGCUAACUCCGUG